AUGGUGGGAGUUUAUCUCUUUUCUCCCUUUUGCCUUGCAUCAUGUGAAGACACAGCAUUUAUCCUGUCCAUAGGGCACAGACUUCAAGAUGUCAUCUUGGAAGCAGAGACUGGACCUUCACCAGACUCAAAACCUACCAGUACCUUGAUCCUAAACGUCUUUCCCGGCUCCAGAACUGUGAGAAAAUUCAGUUGGCUAGCCGGUAGGUAUCUUGUUUCUGUUACUGGUUGAAAGAUUGUUUCUGUUUCUACACUUGUUUCGGCUUGAAGAUUGCUUUAGCCAUGAUCCAAGACAGCAAUUGUAAGUUGCUUUUUUUUUGCCCUAGUUCCCAAGCAAGCAAGUUCCACCACAGCUUUAGCAAAGCAGGCUAAAGUAUCAGGCCCCUGUUUUGAGUGGGACACCCCUACUCUCCUUUUGUCUGGUGGCUUUGAAAACUGUAUAGCCCCUGCCUGAUGGGACACCACAAAGCUUUGGUUUCAACUUACUCAUAACUACUUACAUUCUGUUCCAUUUCUCACCUCAAGAGAUUUUUAUUGUAUUAAUGCCCAGCUUAAUCUUUCUGGUUUUCUUCCCUUUUGUCUCUCAAUGCUAUGGGAUUUGAGCAUAUAGACUGUCACGAUACUGCUCCAUCUUGACCACAAGUCUCUGAUACCUUCUCUCAACUCAUUGUUUUCAGGAUCACACCUUUUAGUUUUUUUAAAUUUUGUUUUAUAUUUCAUAGCUAAUUCAAAUUCUAAUUAAAUAACUUCAUGACAGUAAAUAUUUUGAAAAAUUUUUUGGCUUGCUUUAGUCUUUUAUAUGGCCAAUUUUUAUAAAUUUACAAUGUACC
rnacentral:lncRNA from 13 species